AGUGAACGCUGGCGGUAGGCCUAACACAUGCAAGUCGAACGGCAGCACAGAGGAGCUUGCUCCUUGGGUGGCGAGUGGCGGACGGGUGAGGAAUACAUCGGAAUCUACUCUGUCGUGGGGGAUAACGUAGGGAAACUUACGCUAAUACCGCAUACGACCUACGGGUGAAAGCAGGGGAUCUUCGGACCUUGCGCGAUUGAAUGAGCCGAUGUCGGAUUAGCUAGUUGGCGGGGUAAAGGCCCACCAAGGCGACGAUCCGUAGCUGGUCUGAGAGGAUGAUCAGCGACACUGGAACUGAGACACGGGCCAGACUCCUACGGGAGGCAGCAGUGGGGAAUAUUGGACAAUGGGCGCAAGCCUGAUCCAGCCAUACCGCGUGAGUGAAGAAGGCCUUCGGGUUGUAAAGCCCUUUUGUUGGGAAAGAAAUCCAUCUGGUUAAUACCCGGGUGGGAUGACGGUACCCAAAGAAUAAGCACCGGCUAACUUCGUGCCAGCCGCCGCAGUAA
rnacentral:rRNA from 1 species